rnacentral:rRNA from 1 species
UGGGGAAUCUUGCACAAUGGAGGAAACUCUGAUGCAGCGACGCCGCGUGAGCGAUGAAGCCCUUCGGGGUGUAAAGCUCUUUCGGCAGGAACGAUAAUGACGGUACCUGCAGAAGAAGCUGCGGCUAACUACGUGCCAGCAGCCGCGGUAAUACGUAGGCAGCAAGCGUUGUUCGGAAUUACUGGGCGUAAAGAGUGUGUAGGCGGUUCUCUAAGUUCCGUGUGAAAUCUCCCGGCUCAACUGGGAGGGUGCGCGGGAAACUGGAGGGCUCGAGUAUGGGAGAGGAAAGCGGAAUUCCUGGUGUAGCGGUGAAAUGCGUAGAUAUCAGGAGGAACACCUGCGGUGUAGACAGCUUUCUGGACCAUCACUGACGCUGAGACACGAAAGCGUGGGUAGCAAACAGGAUUAGAUACCCUGGUAGUCCACGCCCUAAACGAUGCAUACUUGGUGUGAGCCGUUCAUUCGGUUCGUGCCGGAGCUAACGCGUUAAGUAUGCCGCCUGGGGAGUACGGUCGCAGGGCUG